CGUCUCGGCACCGUGAACCGGUGAAAAAAACGCGGCAGAGAGAAGCGGCUCGUAAAUUCUGUAUACAUACACAUGUAUAACGGGUGCAUGACCGAGCUGAUGUAACCUAUUCUAAAAACGAGACCGCGAACCGUGCGGCAUUAACGCGCACUGCGCGUAGCCGGAGUGUACGAUGUGAUAUUGACCGAGGCAGACAACUGUAGCGUGGCAGAGAGAAUACUACAUACGUACAUACAUACAUACAUACAUACAUACAUGUUCGGAUAAAUUGCGUGGCAGGACAGAGACCGAAUGGGAUAAAGCGAGCCGUGGCCCGCUAUGCAGAUGACCGCGGGGAUCGGGAUCGAUCGGGAAAGAAAGAGCUUCGCAUACUCAAAUAUUACACACCGCUGGCUCUAUGUACAUACAUACGCUCGAAAAUAAGGAGUACACACGGCGCAUCCACGGUGCAUCCACAAGCGUAUCACUUUACAUUCCGCUUGAGCGUGCAUAGAAAGGAGUCCGCUCUCUGUGUGUAUCUUUUACCUUCUACAGGGGCAUUGCACACGACGACGCCUCGGCCGUUUCGGCCAUCGAUACGGGGUCAAGGACAUGGCCGAAUGGCGGCCCGCGAGAUAGCAUAACAUCCGUAAUAAUAAUACACGCCUUUAACGCGUUCCUAUCACAGGGGUGGAAAACACUCGGAAUCGGUCGGCCCGCCCGCUCGAAACGGAAAUUCGAACGUUUCACCUGAAAAGGUGCAUGAACCCCCGCCGACAGAAAUAACCUAACGCAACCUCGGGUCAAUAUCGCAACGGACCCUUGAAGCGAGCCCGAUGUUUUCGACGCGGAUAGUCGCGGCCGGGCGACGGUGUUCCAGUAAAAGGUUAGUAGAGAGAAGCGCCGGAUUGAUUUUCCCCGGCUAGCAUACAUACAUUGUAACGUGACAGAACGAUAUUAUCUGCUGUGAACCGGCGCGUUGCUUUUUCGCAAUUGAACGGGAACGAUGCUUCUGACAAAGGAAUCCGCGGGGCCCCCCGGCUUCUUGUUUGCCCGACGGACUUCUGCUAAAAUUCCGUAUCCGUACGCCGCGAGCACAAAGGGGACGUGCGUGCUCCGUAACGAUAUAUCGUCACGAUCAGCGAAUCGUUUGGGAAACAAACAGGGUUUACGUGAAUCUACAUAGAAGCGGCGAGAGACUCGUGAAUUUCCGGCACAUAGAGAGAGAGACACGCCGUGCCGACAACGCCGCGCGAUCGUUCGGCGACGUUGCCGUAGCCCCGGAUGACGUCACGAGACAUACGACUCUCGAGCGAGCACGUAAAGCAGCUCGCCGGCAAAGCCAGACUUACGCUCGAAAAACUACGACGCUCUCUUUGUUAAUCGGAUUCGAACCGAUCGGGGAUCGCGACUAUGCCCCGGGCUAAGCGAAUUCGUCCGCGAAUCCUAUACGAUUCCUAUGCCGCGUAUUUGUGUUCGGAUGAAAUAUACGAAUCGCGUAUCGAGACUCGUCGGCGACCAUUUACAUUCCCGAGUUUUUCUGGUCGCCAGAGCGUUUGGCCCUGGAGAGGGAUAAGUCCGGUCGGAACGUACCCUCGGGUUAGCAAAAUAAAUAUUAAGCGAGCGUGUUAUGUUUCAGCGUUAUGUUUAGCCGAGAUAUCUACUCGAGAUUGCUCGAAAAAAUAAUACAAUUGCGAUUGUUAGAAAUAUUUAUCGUAGAGGUUAACCUCGUUAUAUUAUGCAUUAUAAUAUAACCUUGUAAUGCAAGAAAUGCUGAUCUUAAUUACAGUCUCAGCUUACAUGGAACAAUUUUAUCGUCGUACUGAUACACAUAAUUAGAAUUUUAUUUAUUUUAAUAUACAUAAUUAGCUUUUUCUCUCGCAACGUUACUAUUUGUUUAAACCGUGCAUCCCUGUGCGUCGAACAAUUUUAUCACAUUAAUUCUCAUACAAUCAGAAUUGUACAAUCAUCUUCAUAAUAACGUUAGUCUUUGUUUUUAAACAUUCUCGCUUGCUUCCCGGUGGAAAUAGUCUCGAAUUUCAUUGCAGCGCGAUGAAUAAUGCAUUUGUUAUCUCCAUUGAUUUUAGUUGUCGACGAUUAAUGUACGGUUUUCCAAUUGAAAUGUACCGUUGAUCGGCCAAGCGAGCUGCAUAACCGUAUUUUUACGCUGAUUACGAACAGCCGAGUGAAAUAUUCCGUUAAAGACACUUUAAAUUCCGUUACGUAAUCGCUCAACCGGCGAUAACCCUAUGACACGUACCACCAGGUGUGUCCGGAUAUUUACUGUCAACUCGAGUUAUCAAACGUUAAACUAUUUAAAAAAUUAUCGUAUUUUACGAUAGAGAUCUCGGCGCGUUUACAGUGCUCGUGCUCUUCGUGCUCGUGCGCCGCGAACAUUGUAAACACAACGGUUCUUAUGCACGGCCCGUUUUUUCAAAAAUCUUCCGCUCUGAAUCGAUCGCCAUCGCAGAUCGCGGAUAAUCUUGGAAAUCUCUGUAACACCGUAUCUCUUGCAAAUACGUAUGUACAUUCGCUUCGACCCUCCAAAUUGACGCCUACCGUCAUUAAAAAUAACGGAUGUGUAAUACUUAACAAGAAAAAUAGAUCUGAAUUUAUGUAAA